UGAGUGAAAGUUUAAAGGGGCCGCGGUAUUAUGACCGUGCAAAGGUAGCAUAGUCCCAAUAGUCUCUUAAUUGGAGGCUGGAAUGAACGGUUGGACGGGAAGAUAGCUGUCUUGGCUGAAUAGUAUGAAUUUGACCUUUAUGUGAAAAGGCAUAAAUGACUUGAAGGGACGAUAAGACCCUAUAAAACUUUAUAAUUUGAUUAGGAAUUUGACUUGAGUUUAAUAUAUGCCUAAGGAUUGUUAUUUCGCUGGGGAGGUGGAAAUAAAAUCUUUCUAACUGUUUUAUAAUUUGAAUAAUAAUAAUUAGAUGAUGACCCUGAAUUUUGGUUUAAAAGUUUAAGUUACUUUAGGGAUAACAGCGUAAUCUCUCUUGAGAGUCAUAUCG
rnacentral:rRNA from 1 species